rnacentral:lncRNA from 1 species
UCAUUUUAGUAACGGAAUGUAUGGAAGUAAAUCUGUGCCAUCGGGUUUUGAAAAUAAAAACACAUUGAAUUAUAAGCACUGAAUAUUUAUGCAUUGAAAUAACCUAUCUGAAUUUUUUGCCUCUGAAUUUAACUCUUUACAUUUUCAAUUUAUCAUAUUCACCUUUAUUUUUCAAUGUUAAAAAAUUCAACGUUAAAAAAUGCAACGUUAAAAUAUUUCACUCAAAUAGUUUCAACGUCCCAAAAUUCAGUCCGCUAAAGUCACCAUCAAAAUUCAAUGUACGAAAUUCAGUGUUAACAUCCGGGGACCCAAGAAAGAGCAAUCGAUCGAUCGCGGUCAAACGAGUGGGCGCGUCAUUCUCGUUGGAUACCUGAUUCUCACGCGGGAAGGCAUAACAGAUUUAGCCAUGUCCUACGGAAACAGCAGCAGUAAUGGUGCUUCGGGCAGCAACGUCAGUCAGGGUGAAAUCGUGGAUUCAGCAAGGCGAUUGCUGGAUUUAAUUACGUCCGCUGAAAGACAACGAGAACCGAGGCAGGUCGAUGACAAUGGGCGUUCAGCCCCAAAGCCCGCCUCGCUUCAGAUGGAAAUGACCAGGUCUUUUCCAGGGAUGUUCACCAAGGCCAGAGGAAAGAGGCGCUUUCCCACCCCAACACUUGUCCCAGCCAAGAAGUUGAAGCCAUUAGAGGUGGCUUUUUAUUUGCUUCCAAAGCAGUGUGAGAAGACCCCGAAGGAGGGGGACCAAAUCCUCCAUCUCCAAGCAGGGUUAGGCCGCAGGACUGCUCACCUGGAUGAAGCUUCAACACAUGAAGAGGUAUUCAAAUACUAUUAGUAAUUUAGUCUUGCUAUACAACAAAAGAGUCAAUAUGAUGAAUUGAAUCAUCAGUUUGAUAAAAGCAAAACAGUGAUGAAAUGAUGUAAGCCAGUUGGCGGCAAUAAUGUGUGUCGUCAAACACUAUAGAAGAACAUUGUGAGCGUGGGCAUUGAGCGUCUUCUUGAGUGGGUUGCAAAACUAAACUGAAAAUAUCAAAAGCAAAAAACAGUGGAUUCAUAUGUUUGAGUUAAAUAUAUUUAUUCUCCUCUGCCUGCAGUGUACUUCAAG